CAGCCGCCGCGGUAAUACAGAGGGUGCAAGCGUUAAUCGGAAUUACUGGGCGUAAAGUGCGCGUAGGUGGUUUGUUAAGUUGGAUGUGAAAUCCCCGGGCUCAACCUGGGAACUGCAUCCAAAACUGGCAAGCUAGAGUAUGGUAGAGGGUGGUGGAAUUUCCUGUGUAGCGGUGAAAUGCGUAGAUAUAGGAAGGAACACCAGUGGCGAAGGCGACCACCUGGACUGAUACUGACACUGAGGUGCGAAAGCGUGGGGAGCAAACAGGAUUAGAUACCCCCGUAGUCCCUGUCUCUUAUAA
rnacentral:rRNA from 1 species